CACGUAGGGCGCAAGCGUUGUCCGGAAUUAUUGGGCGUAAAGAGCGUGUAGGCGGCCAGACAGGUCCGUUGUGAAAACUCGAGGCUCAACCUCGAGACGCCGAUGGAAACCGUCUGGCUAGAGUCCGGAAGAGGAGAGUGGAAUUCCUGGUGUAGCGGUGAAAUGCGUAGAUAUCGUGAGGAAUACCAGAGGCGAAGGCGGCUACCUGGACAAUUGCUGACCGCUCAGGC
rnacentral:rRNA from 1 species